rnacentral:rRNA from 1 species
GGGUUGUGAGGUUAAGCGACUAAGCGUACACGGUGGAUGCCCUGGCAGUCAGAGGCGAUGAAGGACGUGCUAAUCUGCGAUAAGCGUCGGUAAGGUGAUAUGAACCGUUAUAACCGGCGAUUUCCGAAUGGGGAAACCCAGUGUGAUUCGUCACACUAUCAUUAACUGAAUCCAUAGGUUAAUGAGGCGAACCGGGGGAACUGAAACAUCUAAGUACCCCGAGGAAAAGAAAUCAACCGAGAUUCCCCCAGUAGCGGCGAGCGAACGGGGAGGAGCCCAGAGCCUGAAUCAGUGUGUGUGUUAGUGGAAGCGUCUGGAAAGGCGCGCGAUACAGGGUGACAGCCCCGUACACAAAAAUGCACAUGCUGUGAGCUCGAUGAGUAGGGCGGGACACGUGGUAUCCUGUCUGAAUAUGGGGGGACCAUCCUCCAAGGCUAAAUACUCCUGACUGACCGAUAGUGAACCAGUACCGUGAGGGAAAGGCGAAAAGAACCCCGGCGAGGGGAGUGAAAAAGAACCUGAAACCGUGUACGUACAAGCAGUGGGAGCACAGAGCAAUCUGUGUGACUGCGUACCUUUUGUAUAAUGGGUCAGCGACUUAUAUUCUGUAGCAAGGUUAACCGAAUAGGGGAGCCGAAGGGAAACCGAGUCUUAACUGGGCGUUAAGUUGCAGGGUAUAGACCCGAAACCCGGUGAUCUAGCCAUGGGCAGGUUGAAGGUUGGGUAACACUAACUGGAGGACCGAACCGACUAAUGUUGAAAAAUUAGCGGAUGACUUGUGGCUGGGGGUGAAAGGCCAAUCAAACCGGGAGAUAGCUGGUUCUCCCCGAAAGCUAUUUAGGUAGCGCCUCGUGAAUUCAUCUCCGGGGGUAGAGCACUGUUUCGGCAAGGGGGUCAUCCCGACUUACCAACCCGAUGCAAACUGCGAAUACCGGAGAAUGUUAUCACGGGAGACACACGGCGGGUGCUAACGUCCGUCGUGAAGAGGGAAACAACCCAGACCGCCAGCUAAGGUCCCAAAGUCAUGGUUAAGUGGGAAACGAUGUGGGAAGGCCCAGACAGCCAGGAUGUUGGCUUAGAAGCAGCCAUCAUUUAAAGAAAGCGUAAUAGCUCACUGGUCGAGUCGGCCUGCGCGGAAGAUGUAACGGGGCUAAACCAUGCACCGAAGCUGCGGCAGCGACACUAUGUGUUGUUGGGUAGGGGAGCGUUCUGUAAGCCUGUGAAGGUGUGCUGUGAGGCAUGCUGGAGGUAUCAGAAGUGCGAAUGCUGACAUAAGUAACGAUAAAGCGGGUGAAAAGCCCGCUCGCCGGAAGACCAAGGGUUCCUGUCCAACGUUAAUCGGGGCAGGGUGAGUCGACCCCUAAGGCGAGGCCGAAAGGCGUAGUCGAUGGGAAACAGGUUAAUAUUCCUGUACUUGGUGUUACUGCGAAGGGGGGACGGAGAAGGCUAUGUUGGCCGGGCGACGGUUGUCCCGGUUUAAGCGUGUAGGCUGGUUUUCCAGGCAAAUCCGGAAAAUCAAGGCUGAGGCGUGAUGACGAGGCACUACGGUGCUGAAGCAACAAAUGCCCUGCUUCCAGGAAAAGCCUCUAAGCAUCAGGUAACAUCAAAUCGUACCCCAAACCGACACAGGUGGUCAGGUAGAGAAUACCAAGGCGCUUGAGAGAACUCGGGUGAAGGAACUAGGCAAAAUGGUGCCGUAACUUCGGGAGAAGGCACGCUGAUAUGUAGGUGAAGCGACUUGCUCGUGGAGCUGAAAUCAGUCGAAGAUACCAGCUGGCUGCAACUGUUUAUUAAAAACACAGCACUGUGCAAACACGAAAGUGGACGUAUACGGUGUGACGCCUGCCCGGUGCCGGAAGGUUAAUUGAUGGGGUCAGCGCAAGCGAAGCUCUUGAUCGAAGCCCCGGUAAACGGCGGCCGUAACUAUAACGGUCCUAAGGUAGCGAAAUUCCUUGUCGGGUAAGUUCCGACCUGCACGAAUGGCGUAAUGAUGGCCAGGCUGUCUCCACCCGAGACUCAGUGAAAUUGAACUCGCUGUGAAGAUGCAGUGUACCCGCGGCAAGACGGAAAGACCCCGUGAACCUUUACUAUAGCUUGACACUGAACAUUGAGCCUUGAUGUGUAGGAUAGGUGGGAGGCUUUGAAGUGUGGACGCCAGUCUGCAUGGAGCCGACCUUGAAAUACCACCCUUUAAUGUUUGAUGUUCUAACGUUGACCCGUAAUCCGGGUUGCGGACAGUGUCUGGUGGGUAGUUUGACUGGGGCGGUCUCCUCCUAAAGAGUAACGGAGGAGCACGAAGGUUGGCUAAUCCUGGUCGGACAUCAGGAGGUUAGUGCAAUGGCAUAAGCCAGCUUGACUGCGAGCGUGACGGCGCGAGCAGGUGCGAAAGCAGGUCAUAGUGAUCCGGUGGUUCUGAAUGGAAGGGCCAUCGCUCAACGGAUAAAAGGUACUCCGGGGAUAACAGGCUGAUACCGCCCAAGAGUUCAUAUCGACGGCGGUGUUUGGCACCUCGAUGUCGGCUCAUCACAUCCUGGGGCUGAAGUAGGUCCCAAGGGUAUGGCUGUUCGCCAUUUAAAGUGGUACGCGAGCUGGGUUUAGAACGUCGUGAGACAGUUCGGUCCCUAUCUGCCGUGGGCGCUGGAGAACUGAGGGGGGCUGCUCCUAGUACGAGAGGACCGGAGUGGACGCAUCACUGGUGUUCGGGUUGUCAUGCCAAUGGCACUGCCCGGUAGCUAAAUGCGGAAGAGAUAAGUGCUGAAAGCAUCUAAGCACGAAACUUGCCCCGAGAUGAGUUCUCCCUGACUCCUUGAGAGUCCUGAAGGAACGUUGAAGACGACGACGUUGAUAGGCCGGGUGUGUAAGCGCAGCGAUGCGUUGAGCUAACCGGUACUAAUGAACCGUGAGGCUUAACCUUACAACGCCGAAGGUGUUU